AUUGAACGCUGGCGGCAGGCCUAACAAAUGAAAGUCGAACGAGUGGCGGACGGGUGAGUAAUGUAUGGGAAACUGCCUGAUGGAGGGGGAUAACUACUGGAAACGGUAGAUAAUAACGAAUACAAUCGGAUGUGCCCAGAUGGGAUUAGCUAGAAGGUGGGGGAAAGGCUCACCAAGGCGACGAUCCCUAGCUGGGCUGAGAGGAUGACCAGCCACACUGGAACUGAGACACGUUCCAGACUCCUACGGGAGGCAGCAGUGGGGAAUAUUGCACAAUGGGCGCAAGCCUGAUGCAGCCAUGCCGCGUGUAUGAAGAAGGCCUUCGUGUUGUAAAGUACUUUCAGCGGGGAGGCGUUACCCGCAGAAGAAGCACCGGCUAACUCCGUGCCAGCAGCCGCGGUAAUAC
rnacentral:rRNA from 1 species